rnacentral:rRNA from 1 species
UACGAAGGGGGCAAGCGUUGUUCGGAAUUACUGGGCGUAAAGGGCGCGUAGGCGGCCUUCUAAGUCGGACGUGAAAUCCCUCGGCUUAACCGAGGAACUGCGUCCGAUACUGAAAGGCUUGAAUCCGGGAGAGGGAUGUGGAAUUCCAGGUGUAGCGGUGAAAUGCGUAGAUAUCUGGAGGAACACCGGUGGCGAAGGCGGCAUCCUGGACCGGUAUUGACGCUGAGGCGCGAAAGCUAGGGGAGCAAACGGG